AGCUCCAAUUCAGGAAGGUGGGUUUCUUCAUUUAACACAUACUCAUUUGAAGGAUAAAAAAUAAAUAUUUGCUUAUAUAUUCAAAAGCUUAAAAUGAAACAAUGAGCAGAUAAUAUUUUUGUGUUUAAAAAUUAAAUUUAACUCUUUCUUCAAUAAUAAAAUAUACUACCUAUUAUACAAAAAGGACAUUAUUUUAUUCACAGUUGACAGAGUCUCACAAUCAUAAUAAUAAAGGUGAACUGCAAUGACAUUUUAAUUAUAUUUUUCCUAUUGUUACGGGUUAUGAGGGUUAGAGCAGCACACAAAGGCCCUAAUCAUAGUCUUGUCAUGUAAAGAGCUGCACAUGCAGAGAACAAAUACAGAGUUCCUACCCAAAGAGGUUGCACUUUAAUCUAAAAUUGCACAUUAAGAGAGGAUGCUCCUUGACUGAAAAACACAAGUACACAAAGGGAUCCUGGCUUGCUUUCUUAUCUGAUGAAGACCUCUGGAUACACAGUUACUUUUCGCUGUCAGAUACUACAAAAUAGUUGUUUACAAAUAAAUUACUUUCCUUUGAAGCUUACCCGGUCUGAGUUUGAAGGUAAUUCCUGAUUUCUCCAUAUGAGUUUCAGAUCUUGCUUUUAGCCCAGUACUUCAGGUGGGAGUCCUGAAGCCAUUAGCCAUUUCUAGGAUUAAUGACAUUCUGGAGGAGAAGAUCGAGUCAUGUAAACUCAGGUCUUGACCUGUAGCUAAAAAUUUGAGUGUCCUUUCAAAUGAGCUCUUUUUUGCCGGUAUAAUGCCCUGAAGAGGUAUCAUGUCUGAUCAUCAUGUCAUGGUUCACAGCCCAAAUUUUGUCUUUGAAUAUCAGUGCAGGUUUUAAGCAACUGUGGGUCCACUGGGGCCAUGCAGGUCUCUGCACAGGUUACUCACACACUGAUAGGAAACUUGUCCACGUAUCUAUGAAGACUUACAGAGACUGGUUCCUGCUAGCCUCUCUCAAUGGGCUCCCCUUCCUCUCCUUCAACCUCAGACCUCCUCAAAGUAACCAGAAUUGUGCUCUAAAUUAGUCAGGAUUUGAAAAAUGAUGGUUUUGGAGAGGAAAAAAGCACUCUGCUCAACCCCAAGUCUUACUAUGCAACUUGGUUUUGAUCUUCAGGCUUUAGAACUGAAAACACGUUACAAAAAGAAAUCUAUUGAUCACAAAAUCAUAAUUUUCUAGGAAAUACACAGCAGGACCCUUCAUUAGGAAAAAAAAAAAAAAAAGGCAGCAAAGAGGGUGUUACCAUCAUAGUGCUGAGGGUUUGCACAGAUGAGGACCAGUUCUCCAGGAACCAAACCAAGCAGAUGUUGGAAAUUUGUUCAUAGCCUCUGAAAACGCAGGCAGGAGUAAAAGCUGUCAGGUUUGCACCAGGGUUGGGUUGGGGAGUGGGGUUUUUCAUCUUAAAUUCUUACAGUUAAUAAUGCCCUGCAAUUUCCAUCACUAAACAACUCGACAUACUCCUGGCUUCUUUGAAACACAAGGCUUAGAAACGCAACAUCAUUGGAAAUGAGAAGUGAGGCAGCAGCGGGGCAGCUCGGUGCACUUAAGGGAGCAUUUUUAAGCCAUUUAGCAGGAGUUUAUUGCUCCAGCACUGGAGGCUUUGAGCAUUCAAGCAUGACAGGGUGUGCAUUGUUGUGCCAGAACUGCCCGCCCUGGGUGUGUGUGGUGUGGGGCAAGGGGCCAAGGGCUGUGUUUAAACGCACCCGCACGAGAAAUGCGAUUUAGGCAGAACAAAGCACACUCCUGUUGUGCCUCCCCGUGAUUAUAAAAUAGAUCUGUGUCAUUAUAAAUAGAAAAUGACUGGUGACAAAGAUGCUGCUUUGACUCACUUCUGAGGCCAAGCUCCCUCGCUGCGGUUCCUGAUGUCAGAACAAUUUAGCGGCUGCGCUGCAGGCGAACGCGCCUGGUUUGGGGUUAGCCAGUCCACAUCUCAUGAUGGCUUAAUCUCAUUUUAAAACAGCAGGGAUUCACUGGGGUCCUCUGCAAGCAUCACUCCCUCACCCAAGGACGGCUCUGAAUGCCUUCAAAACGCACUGUGCCCACCGCAAGGCUCGGAUUGCUAAAUACCAAAUUACCUUGGCCUCCAAGGGACUGCCAAACUUUCGGGGUCUGUGAAGUUGAAAUCCUGCUUCCACACAACUAAUGUGUGGUUCUUGUUUAUUCCAGUGGGAACCAAAUCAAAGACACAGAAAUAAUAGUGCUGUUUCAAAUGUGUAAGUUUUCCUCUUUAUGCCACUUUCCAUCCCAACAAACUUCACAGCAUUAUUGAAUUAAAUAAUGCAUAUAAAUAUUCUGAAUAUAUAUAUAUAUCUGUAAGUGUAUAUAUAGAUUUUAUGUUGUUUAACAGGUAACUAUUAAAAAAAAAAAAAAAAAAAAACCUAACACAAAACCCAAACCAGAAAUUAGAACUGAAGCUCCUACUACAGUAUCUGGACUAUUCUGUUCAUUUACUCCUAAGCAUGCUCCUUAAAAAAACCUGCAAUCUUUCUGCUUCAAUAAUUUAAUCAGAAUCCCACUUAUAUUUGUAUUUUAUACCACAGUUUAUUCCCAACACAGGGGAUAACCUCUCAUUUCCUGAAAGCUCUUUAAAACUUUCUUAAUGAAAGAGUAGAGAAAUCUGUUGUUUGCAAAUUCUACUGACUUAUUGCUAACUUCCAAACUAAAGUAGUUAAUUUAAUGAAGGAGGAAAAAAAAAAAAAAAAAAAGAGUGAGAAAGAAAAAGACUAAUUUGGUGCCCGUAGCCAUUUCCCAAAUUCUUCAGACUUUAUGGACCUAGAGAGACAGGGAAAGAGCAACUUCUCAGCAGUGCAGCAGAAUAGGCCAAAAUGACCCUGUGAAACCCAAGCAAUUCUGGGAAUUAAAGGAUGUUCACUGCUGUUAUGGUUCUACACUGCAAACUGCUUUUAGGGCUCCCAGUAGUACCCAUUAGCAAUAGCCAAACUCUUCUGUUUUAAUUUAAUUUAAUUUCCACCAACAAAUUCCACCCUGUGGUGAGAAUUGACAGUAUCAUGUUGAGAACCAUUAAAGCAUAUUUGGAUUGUUUUUACUCCAUGUAUAUGUAAAAAAAAAAAAAAAUCCCCACCCUUCUUAGUUUUCUUUAGACAAGCCACUUCAUAAUAAGAGUGAGGCAGCCACAAUGGAGGCAUCGUUGUUCUGUGGGACGCCACCACAGGGAGAUACAGCUGGAGAUACAGCAGAACACGCCUUGGCAUUUCACUGCCAGCAGAGCCUGGGCCUGCUGCACUCUGAUCCCCCCACGGGACCCGAGCAGAGCCUGGCAGCACUGCCCGUGUCCCUGCAGUUACCACCUGGCAUCCUUCUGCACAAAGAACCUUUACACCACUCUGCCUCCUCUUCUCCCUGAGUGCUCUCUGUUCUCUCUGCACUCAAAGCAUCUUCAUGCUUAUGCCACCUUUGGCUUUACUGGGAAUUCCUAUUGGGAAUUCCCCCACUGGGAAUUCUGCCACCAGAUUUCAAAGGGAAGAGAGUAAUAAUGCCCUUCAUUAGUAUAGACUUUUCUGUCAUGGCUUUUAGGCCCCUCUCCAGGCAGGCAGGCAGGCAGGCACAUGUUUAACAUUAAACACAUCAGUAGUCCCUAUUCACAUGCUGCAAGCUAGAAAUGCUCAUUAGCGCUGGAUCAUGGCUCCAGCUGAGCUCUAACACUUCAGCCAGGGAGGCAGGCUGGAGGAAAGGUGGCCCUCAAACCUUUCAUCAUGGUUGCACCAUCACUGAUGGAGCAGUUUCAGCUUCUCCAGAGGGUGCUGGGUCCCCUUGGCACGACCUGCUGAGCUGUGACAAUGCCACCAUUCAGAGCUGCUUAGCUGAUGAGCAGAGCUCAAAUCCACCACAUUCAAACGCAUCCUUGGGAGUGUUUUCAGGAUUAGCAUCCCUCCAGUGAAUGGUGAAAGGGGAAUCAGCUGGGGAAACGGGGGAAUAAGAUGAUUGAUGUGGUCUCUGAGAGGCUGCUGAGUCCUGCGUGGGGAAUGCCUGAGGGGUUACACGGGAUUCUUCUGGCUUUUAUGUCACGUGUUUAAAAAUGCACUUAUCAACCUCUGGAAAACAGAAUUGGGUGGGGUUUCUCAGCUUUUCUGUGACCAAGUGUUGUUAGAAUGUGGGACAAGGAAAUAAAACAGCUUAACAUUCUCUGCACCUGAGCUGGAAGGGGAGAAAAGGGAACAGGACUCCUCUUUUCACUGCUGAGCACUGAAUGGGCUGUCCUAGUUCAGUGUCCAAACCAGCACAGCCCUCCUGAAAGGAGGAAAUGGGGAAUCUGUGACUCAGAGGGAACAUGUCUACUGUCUGAGAGAAACCCCUAGGCAAAGCCACCUUCAACACGCUGCCUUGCUCAUGUCUGUGCUGAAAUUCACAGUCCAGACUAAACAGUUACUUAACUCUUG
rnacentral:lncRNA from 1 species